rnacentral:lncRNA from 1 species
AUGGAAAGGCGAUUCUUAUACUCAGAAGGAAAAGUUCCCAUGGAAGCCAUGGAUUCAUUCAUGACAAAGAUCCCAGCCAUGUUGCCCUCAGUAGCCCUCCCUCCUUGGACUGUGACAGUUUCUCCAUCUUCUUUUGUUUACAUGACCUUGAUCGCUUUGAGGAGUACAGGGUGAGUAUUUUGUAGACUGUUCCUCAAUUUGGGCUUGUCAUAUUUUUUUUGUCAUGAUUAGACUGGCACUGUGGGCUUUGGGAAGGACACCCUACAGAUAAAGUGCUGAGCCCCACUUGAGUGAGAAAUCUCUAUGUCUUUGCUGCCUUUUCUUCUCUUCAUUUUCUCUUUCUCUCUUUUCUGAUUUUUCUCUCGCAAGUGGACUCACACUCUAAGUAAGCUGAAGGGAAAUAUGAUUGUUCUCUGGAGGGAAAUUAGAAUUUGGAACUGAAGAAAGCAUUUUGCUUGUGCCAACCUCCGUUAUACUUGACAUGCCAAAGACCACCACAGGGAUUUAACCUUGCUUAUUUCUCCCAGCUCUCACAUUUGCUGGCUCUAUAUUGACACAUGACAUGAAAUUGAGGGUUCCUUCAGUUCUAUGUUCAUUUCAAGUUGCAGGUGCUAACAUUUCAGCCACAUGCCCUGGGGGUCUUCUGCUUCUCUCCUCAGCAUGCCCAUGUCUCCAUCUCUGCACGCUCAUAUUGUGUCCUUUCUUUACAGCCCAGGUCACAUGCCACUGCUGUCCCUCCACAGCUAGGCUGGAGUCCAAGGUGGGAGUCAGGAUAGAUACACAGCUACAAAGGAAAGCACAAGUUGUGAGGGAUUCUGAAACAGGGCUCAGUACCUGGGCUAGUGGUUUGGCCUCUGGGUGGAAGCCCCCAUAAUUCAUUUCUAUCUCCAGGCCAUAGGUUCCAGCAGUUCUCAUGACCCAGGUUACCACACAUUGCUAGACAGGUGGGAGGCUCUAGCUGAACUGUCCUGAAUCCCCAGCCGCAGGCUGUCUGACCCACCCAGGCAGUGUUUCCUAGCUGGUAAGGAGAAACCUUUGAAAUAGGUGAUCCUUGAGUGUGUUAUAUAGGAACUGAUAAGUAAUUUCACCUUAAAACUAAAUGCUUUUGGGGGAAGACAAUAUUAUUGAAAUAAUUUAAGCUUCAUCUUUAAAAUUCUAAAUAAAAAUACUUUAGCUAAUGGUAAUUAACAUUCUGAAAUCAUAUUUCUUAAUUUUGAAGAUGGGUUCAAGAAGGGGGAAAAACCCAGAAAGAUGACUGGCAAAUUUCAAACUGAAUAUUUAAUUUUCACAUGAUUUAGGCUGAAAUGCUCUGCAAUCUAUAGGUUUGUGAAGGUUAAAAUUCAUCAGAGCACAUGGUUUCUUCAAGCGAAAUCACAACUGGGGGCUUAUGAAGGACGUCUUCAGUGGCACAUGCUUGUUGGGGGAAAAGCCUUGUUUAAAACAUAAGACAGAAAGUGAAACUGAUAUUCUUCAUGCAUUUCUUUGAGCUGCAGCCUGGUCUGGCAUUCACUGAAACCAAAUAUUGCUGCUGUUCUGCCUUUGCUAUAGCAGGACAAAUCAGAAAGUGCUCAAGAACAAUACGCAAAUUACAGGCAUUCAAAGACACUUGAUGUGGAUUCAGGCUGAGCCUUCUGGAGAACAUCCCCAAACUAUGUUUUCUGUGUUUCACAGAAACCACGGUUUCUCUUCCCCUUCCCCUAACUCCAGUUUCACCAAAGGCAGCAUGGUAUGACGAUAGAAGAAGUAUGGGUUUUAGGGGGUCACUGGCUGAGGUUCAAGUCUCAGCAACUUUGUUGCUAACUAUGGUAUCCUGAACAAGCUAUUUGGUUUCAGA